AUCCAGCUGACGAGUUCCAGAUAAGACGGAACGCGCCUUCUGGAU
rnacentral:hammerhead_ribozyme from 1 species